rnacentral:rRNA from 1 species
UUCACGGAGAGUUUGAUCCUGGCUCAGGACGAACGCUGGCGGCGUGCUUAACACAUGCAAGUCGAACGAUGAACCACUUCGGUGGGGAUUAGUGGCGAACGGGUGAGUAACACGUGGGCAAUCUGCCCUGCACUCUGGGACAAGCCCUGGAAACGGGGUCUAAUACCGGAUACUGAUCAUCUUGGGCAUCUUGGAUGAUCGAAAGCUCCGGCGGUGCAGGAUGAGCCCGCGGCCUAUCAGCUUGUUGGUGAGGUAAUGGCUCACCAAGGCGACGACGGGUAGCCGGCCUGAGAGGGCGACCGGCCACACUGGGACUGAGACACGGCCCAGACUCCUACGGGAGGCAGCAGUGGGGAAUAUUGCACAAUGGGCGAAAGCCUGAUGCAGCGACGCCGCGUGAGGGAUGACGGCCUUCGGGUUGUAAACCUCUUUCAGCAGGGAAGAAGCGAAAGUGACGGUACCUGCAGAAGAAGCGCCGGCUAACUACGUGCCAGCAGCCGCGGUAAUACGUAGGGCGCGAGCGUUGUCCGGAAUUAUUGGGCGUAAAGAGCUCGUAGGCGGCUUGUCGCGUCGGUUGUGAAAGCCCGGGGCUUAACCCCGGGUCUGCAGUCGAUACGGGCAGGCUAGAGUUCGGUAGGGGAGAUCGGAAUUCCUGGUGUAGCGGUGAAAUGCGCAGAUAUCAGGAGGAACACCGG